UACGUAGGUCGCAAGCGUUGUCCGGAUUUACUGGGCGUAAAGAGCGCGCAGGCGGCUGGUCAAGUCCGAUGUGAAAUCUCCCGGCUCAACUGGGAAACUGCAUUGGAAACUGAUCGGCUUGAAGAUGGGAGAGGGUAGUGGAAUUCCCGGUGUAGUGGUGAAAUGCGUAGAUAUCGGGAGGAACACCAGUGGCGAAGGCGACUACCUGGCCCAUUCUUGACGCUGAGGCGCGAAAGCUAGGGGAGCGAACGGG
rnacentral:rRNA from 1 species